AUGAUUGAGUGUGCCCUCACUGUGAUCAAGGAACCACUUGUUGAGGAGACCGUUAAAAUCCGGGUGCCACCCUCAGACUUGGCAGAUAAUUUUGGAAAAUGGAGAGACACGGGGGAGGAAGCAGACGUGACAUUCAAUGUUAGAGGGGAGACUUUCCAUGCGCACAAGCUCGUGCUUGCGAUGCGGUCACCGGUCUUCAAGGCACAGCUCUAUGGACCGAUGGGAGACAGGACGGCGCGGAACAUAACCGUGGAAGAUAUGCAGCCUGAUGUUUUCAAGGAAUUGCUUCACUUCAUCUACUCGGAUUCAUUGCCUUCACCGGAGAACCCCGAUGAGGAGAAUGGCAACAUGGUUAAGCAUUUACUGGUGGCUGCAGAUCGCUAUGCCAUGGAAAGGAUGAAGGUGAUGUGCGAAGCUAGUCUCUGCAAAAGUCUUACUGUCGAGACUGUCGCGGCCACGUUAGCUCUGGCUGAUCAGUAUCAUUGCAGCGGGCUCAAAGAUGCUUGCAUUGAAUUUGCCAUCUCUUGUAAUAGAAUGGGUGGUGUGGUUGCAAGCCAAGGGUAUGGGCACUUGAAAAGAUCAUGCCCUGCUGUCUUAGGAGAUAUCCUGGAGAGAGUAACGAAGUCUCCCAGAGUUUAG
rnacentral:rRNA from 1 species